rnacentral:rRNA from 1 species
UACGUAGGUGGCGAGCGUUGUCCGGAUUUACUGGGCGUAAAGGGAGCGUAGGCGGACUUUUAAGUGAGAUGUGAAAUACUCGGGCUCAACUUGAGUGCUGCAUUUCAAACUGGAGGUCUAGAGUGCAGAAGAGGAGAGUGGAACUCCAUGUGUAGCGGUGAAAUGCGUAGAUAUAUGGAAGAACACCAGUGGCGAAAGCGGCUCUCUGGUCUGUAACUGACGCUGAGGCUCGAAAGCGUGGGGAGCAAACAGG